rnacentral:lncRNA from 10 species
UUCUGACACACUUACAGAAAAGUUGUAAGACUGGCAGAGAGCAUUCCUGGAUCCUUUCAUUCAAAUACCCCAAGAAGGAACACCUUACUACAUUUAACUACAUUUACUCUCUCCCUCUCUGUUUCACACCCUUUCUCUUUAUACACACACACACACACGCCUACACACACACACACACAUAAAAUUUUUCCUUAAGUGUUUUAAAAUUUAACCUCUAAUGAUAUAAUUAAACUCAUUCUCCUUGUAAAACAUUAAACCCUUCCAGACAAGGAGAACAUCCCACUGACUCUACCUAAAGAAUCCUUCGCUUUUCAUUUUCCUGCAUGGAUGUGUGCCCCAUGGAGUGACCGCAGGGUGGAACUCAGAGCUGGAAUCUCUGCCCCAUCUCCUGUGACACAUUUUCCGCCUGUCUGCCAAUGUGUUUUUAUAUAUCCUGCAACUUAGAUCUCUCCCUCAGCAACUUAUCUCAGAGAUCUCACCAAACUCGGCACUAUGAAAACAUCACUAAGACACGAAGGUGCUGGUGGACUGAGAAGGUUUUGGGGAAUGUCUGUCUCAGAUCUCAUGAUCACACUACACCAUAGCACUGGUGCCGCCCCUGCUGAGUACCUUUCCUGGUUCCCUACCGCCACAAGAAUAAAGCCCCAAAUCCACAUCCUGGCAAUCGGUACCCCCACGGGUGACAGUCCAGCAUCCCACAGCCAAGACCCUACCAUGCCGGACCACUGGACGUCCCCUCCUCUGCCAACACCAUGCCACGCCAGACCACUGCUAUUCAUUCCCUCCUCUGAGACCCUGCCACACCAGACCAUGGGAUGUUCCCUCCUCUGCUGAGACCCUACCAUGCCAGACUACUGGACAUCUCCUCUGCUGAAACCCUGCCACGCUGGACCACCAGCUGUUCCCUCUUCUGCUCUGACUUUGCUCCCUCCUCCUCCUGAAAGAAUAUGUCACCCUCUCGACUUGUCAAGGUCUGCACUUGACCCUCGAGGCUAGCUCAAGGCCCAUCGUGGCCAAGUAACUUCCCAAGAACCUGGCUCUGGAACCCAGGGGGAUUUGCUUAUUCUUUCACCUGACUUUUGAGGACCCAAAGGGCAAGGGCCAAGCCCUGUUAUCUUGGUAUCCCUGCAUGUGCUGUGUAUUUCUCAUUAAAAUACAAGCUCCUGGGUUCAAGGCCUCAGUACAGUUGAGCAGGUUGUGCACUGCACAAACCUUGGCUGAGCAGAAAGCAGGGACUGAAGUGUCGAGUCUGUAGGCAGGAAAACACCUUAUGACUAAUCCACAGAGGUGUGUCAUGGACUGCAGUGGCCCAUCCAUGUCAGAUAUCCUUGUCUUCAUCACCACCCUCCUAUAUUUUGGGCCCCCAACAGCACAAAUCCUCAUGCCUAUUCACUGAAUAAACAACAAAGUCACAUGUGUGAGCCCUAUUCUGUUAAAAACUCUGAAAUCUUCCACAAAAUGCAAGCUUUUCUAAUAAUAGCUAAGUGACAUUUACGCGUUACGAACAUAACUUACUUCAUUACAAAAAACCCUUAAAACCAUAAAUUAAGCACUAUUAUUUUCAUCUUCAUGUUUAAAUCGAGCAAAUAGAGUCAGAGAGGUUACAUAAGCUUUCAGAGACCACACAGCUCAUAAGUGGUGGAGUCGUGCGAACAUCCAUCCAGGGCAUGUGAGUUUGCACAUACCAUGAAUUUAGAGCUGAUGUUUGUGAGUCGGUGGUGGAUUCUUCCUGACCCUCGGGUCAUAGCCAAAGUGUCUUCCUCAUGUGAGCAGACCCUGCUGUGGGAGAGGUCUCUUGAGGGGCCAGUUCUGCAGGAUUCAGGGGCCCUAUGCAACCAGGCCUUCCAGCGAGUGUGAGCACCCAAUCCCCUGCAUUCAAUCCCUUCCUGUGUAAGGUAGCUGGAGUGACUUCUAUUCAUGUAACUGAAUCUUGACUGCUACAUUUCCUCUCUCACCUCCAGAAUCCCAGUCUUGCUGACACACGUCUUAACUUCACCCCUUUCCCAUUGGCAAGGUCUCUGCCUUAAUUCAGGUCUGCACGGCUCCUCCCUGGAAAUCGCAAGGCAACGCUCUUUUGAUUCACUGUGGCUCCAGGUUUUUCACCUCUCCAAUCCCACCUCGCAAACCCUGUUGCAUCCCUCCCUGGGUGGGUUCAAUCUUGCUGGGGAAUAGGAUCCAAUUCACAAAGACUUAACACUAUAAAAGGCCAACCUUAUCUCCUAAGCCUGACAGCUGACGCGUUGGCCACUGGGUGUCGGGCUUUCUCGUAAAGGUUUGCCAUGUCUUGUCCUAAGGACAUCCUGAGGGAGGUACAAGUUGAUCACUCCUCUUCUGAGGAGUCGGGGUUGGAGAGGGGGCGUGUGGUUGGAUCUCACGUGUAUUUGGUAAUGGAGGGCCCUGAGAGUCGAGACCCGUCAGUUUCAUUUUACCUCAAAAGCACUUUUGGCUGCUUCUCAGAGAAAGGGAUUCACUUUCUAUCACAAUCUGCACACAUCCAGUGACACAGGGUCAGGAACCUACACACGUGCCAUGCAUCAGCCCUGUGAUAUUUCCCAUUCUAGUUUAUUUCAG